rnacentral:lncRNA from 1 species
AUUCUUGUCUUCCGAUCAUCUUGCAUAUAUUUUUUUGUAAUUAAGUUGUAUAUGCCAUCUUUGCCCCAUGCCCCCACUGAAUAUUUCAAAGAAAAAUAUGGAUGCAAAUUUUGGUUGCACAAAAUAUUCUUGGUGUAUUUUUGCAUAUUAAAGCCCAUAUUACCAUUCCUUGCCAAUGAUUCUGUGAAGGCGCCCAAGCUGGCCAAAUCAGUGCGUAUUGUUAAAAGCAAUACUAUAUUUUCAUUUUGAAUUAACUUUGCUCCUGUUCCACAUGGAAAUUCCAUUUGUUUCUUUUAGAUUGUGGAUAUCCCUGUAAUUUGGUAAUUAUGGAAUGAUAAUUAACCAUUUGGUAAAAGACUACCCGUGAAAAGGAGUAAGUCAGAGAGUGAAAGUUUCCCCAAAUCAUGGCAGACUAGGCUAAAAGCAGAGGGCAUGGUAGGAUAGAGGUACAUUAAUGGUUGAUGCUAGAUAUUUUUGAAGCAAGUCCAUUUUCAGGAAACAUGCAUAAUUUAUCCUAAUUCUUGCCAUCACAUAGGUGUAGAAGGGCUAUAGACCAUAUGUACUGUCUAAAGAAAUUCACCCGUGGGGACUUUUUUUUUCAAAGCCACUUUUAGACAUUUCAUUCUCUGCUCCUUUAACAUCAUCCUCCACUUUAGAGACCCGUGAAAUCAAUGUAAUCCUCUUCUUGCUUUCUCUCUCUCUCUCUAAGCAAAAUAAAACUGUGAUGUGUCUUCUUGUAAAAUUUAGGUAUACAAUGCUAUGCAAGCUUUUCUUUAUAGUGAGAGCUUUAUUUUCGUUAAUAAUAUACCCCAACUUAUAUGUUUUAAUCUCCCUCAUCCCUCAGAAUAGGCAGAAAAAUAUAACUGCAGUGAUAAUGUUAUAGACAAAAGCAUUAAAACUGUGCAGUCAAUAGACCUGAACAUAGUUAUGAAUUAAUUUAAUUAAUUCUAAAAUGACUCGGGUUUCCCCUUUAGUCUAUUAGCUCAAGGGUUUGGGCUGUUGGUUUCUGUAAAAGUAGGUUCACACAGUAAAGGGAUAAUACCAUCUGGAACAAUGAUCAGUGUAGAGUUACAUCAUCUAAAACCAGGACAGUAAUGUGGGGCUCUAUGUGGUAGCUGGAUGUUUCCCUUUCAAUGUCCUCAUGCCUCUCACUUUGUAGGUAAAACUGUGUGCUGAAAAUAUAAUGGUACUUUGAUUAUUUUGAGGAUUUUUAUUUUCUUAUAUAAGAAGAAAAUCAUUAUUGUCUCUUGGUAUUGCAUAUUUAACUCUCAGUGGUAUUUGGGACUGUGGAAAUGUCUUCUUUGUCCCAAGAGGAACGAGAGUGGAGUGAUUCCCACAAUAUUGUAUGGUGUCCACAACACUACUGGGAGUCCAAGUGGUACUGGGGAGGGCCAGUCAUGUGAAACAAUUAGGGUGCUCUCAAAAUUGCUCUGGUAGAAGGUAUUUCUGAAACCGAGUCUUUAUUUUGAUCUCAUAAACAACAUGGGACGGGCAUCUACCAUGAAAAUCAGUACCUAUCCAUAGUACUGUGCUUGAGGGACUCGCCUACAUCAGAUUAGAAAUCACCUCAUGGAAUCUAUACUAGCAUAUGAAAAUUUG